CCUACGGGAGGCUGCAGUGGGGAAUAUUGCGCAAUGGGCGAAAGCCUGACGCAGCGACGCCGCGUGAGGGAUGAAGGUCUUCGGAUCGUAAACCCCUGUUAGCAGGGAAGAACGGUCACUGUCCUAAUCAGCAGCGAAUUGACGGUACCUGCAAAGGAAGCACCGGCUAACUCCGUGCCAGCAGCCGCGGUAAUACGGAGGGUGCGAGCGUUAAUCGGAAUUACUGGGCGUAAAGCGCUCGUAGGCGGUAUGUCAAGUCUAGGGUGAAAUCCCCGCGCUCAACGUGGGUACUGCCUUUGAAACUGGGAAACUGGAGUGUGUGAGAGGAUAGUGGAAUGCCAGGUGUAGGAGUGAAAUCCGUAGAUAUCUGGAAGAACAUCAGUGGCGAAGGCGACUAUCUGGCACAUAACUGACGCUGAGGAGCGAAAGCGUGGGUAGCAAACAGGAUUAGAUACCCGAGUAGUC
rnacentral:rRNA from 1 species